ACCCGGCAUUGUCUAACCACUUAGCUGCAUCCCCAGCCCUUUUUGAUUUUUUUAUUUUGAGACUGGGUCUUGCUAACUUGCUGAGGCUGGCCUCAAACUUGCAAUCCUCCUGCCUCAGCCUCCCAAGUCACUGAGCUCACAGGCGUGGGCCACCAUGCCCAGCUCUGUGUAUUCUCUACCUACCUAUCCAUUCCUGCUGAUCUAUCUGCUGUCCAUCUACCUGUGCAUCUACCUAUGUGUCCAUCCAUCCAUCCACCCAUGUACAACGGGAGAGAGACGAGUUGAAGGCAUUGCUCAUGUGGUGGUCGGGGGGCUGUCAGGUCAAGUUUGCAGGCAGCCUGCAGGUUUGGAAGUGGGGAGCUGACUGGCCUCUGAACCCAGAGGGCAGCAGGCUGGGACCCUGGCAGGAUUCCUCUCCUGCGGUCUUGUUUUUAGUUCUUGCUGUUGCUGUGGGAUGGGUCUUGCCUGUUGCCAGGCUGGUCUUGAGCACCUGGGCUCAAGGGAAGGCAAUAAAGGGGUCCUCCUGCAGGACAGUUCCAGAAGGUCUUGCUGACCCUGCACUCCCCCGUUCAAGAGGAGCUGUCGGGCAGCUGGACUCUGCUCCUGCCAUCCUAGGACAGGGCAUCCUUGAAGUCCUGGGAGCAGGUGGCCCUGAUGGACUGCUUGUGGGACCCUCAGCUGCAGCACAGUGUGGGGACAUGCAGACCAGGUGGCGGGGAGGGAGGGGACCGAGGGAGUCAGUGAUCAGGCGACUGCUCUGGGCAAUGGGGCUCAAUUCCACGGAGCCCCUCAGAGUUGCUAUGCUGAACACACUGGGACCUGCCCCGGGUGUCCAGGAGCACCCGCGGACGCCUCUCCAGGAGUGAACGCCCAGCGCUCUGGGCAGGCCCCACACACUCAGUCAGAAAGGUCCUUGGGAGAUGCUGGCACUAUCUGAGGUGGCCUUUGGGCUGUCCCGAGGAAUCUGGGUGGGGACUGAGGUCACGUGUCCAGCCCCUGCCUGGCCUGCUUUCAGCACCAAGGAGAGCGACCAAGGGCUCCAGCACCCCGCCUGCAGGGUCCCAGCCUGGGGAUCCCCCAGAGGCUGCAGGCCGGCUCUGCUUGGGUCUGCAGGUCACCCCGAGGGGAGGACAGCAUUGUUCGCC
rnacentral:lncRNA from 1 species